rfam:Rattus norvegicus chromosome 1, whole genome shotgun sequence.
GGGGAUUUAGCUCAGUGGUAGAGCGCUUGCCUAGCAAGCACAAGGCCCUGGGUUGGGUCCCCAGCUCCG